rnacentral:rRNA from 1 species
AACGAACGCUGGCGGCGUGCCUAACACAUGCAAGUCGAGCGAGAAAGCCCGCAAGGGUGAGUACAGCGGCGCACGGGUGCGUAACACGUGGGUAAUCUGCCCUGGAGUCCGGAAUAACUCGCCGAAAGGCGUGCUAAUGCCGGAUGAGACCACGGGGGCUCCGGCCCCUGAGGGAAAAGGUGGCCUCUGAAUGCAAGCUAUCACUUCAGGAUGAGCCCGCGGCCCAUCAGCUCGUUGGCGGGGUAACGGCCCACCAAGGCUACGACGGGUAGCUGGGCUGAGAAGACGAUAAGCCACCAUGGAACUGAGACACGGUCCAGACUCCUUCGGGAGGCAGCAGUGUGGAAUCUUGCGCAAUGGGGGAAAGCCUGACGCAGCAACGCCGCGUGUGUGAUGAAGGUCUUCGGAUCGUAAAGCACGGUCGGGAGGGACGAAUAAGGGCCGGGCGAACAGCCCGGUCCGAUGACGUUACCUCCAAAGGAAGCACCGGCUAACUCUGUGCCAGCCGCCGCUGUAACAC